rnacentral:rRNA from 1 species
UACGUAGGGUGCGAGCGUUGUCCGGAAUUAUUGGGCGUAAAGGGCUCGUAGGCGGUCUGUCGCGUCAGGAGUGAAAACUCGGGGCUUAACCCCGAGCCUGCUUCUGAUACGGGCAGACUAGAGGUAUGCAGGGGAGAACGGAAUUCCUGGUGUAGCGGUGAAAUGCGCAGAUAUCAGGAGGAACACCGGUGGCGAAGGCGGAUCUCUGGGCCGUAACUGACGCUGAGGAGCGAAAGCAUGGGGAGCGAACAGG